AUGAACGCUGGCGGCGUGCCUAAUACAUGCAAGUCGAGCGAACAGACGAGGAGCUUGCUCCUCUGACGUUAGCGGCGGACGGGUGAGUAACACGUGGAUAACCUACCUAUAAGACUGGGAUAACUUCGGGAAACCGGAGCUAAUACCGGAUAAUAUAUUGAACCGCAUGGUUCAAUAGUGAAAGACGGUUUUGCUGUCACUUAUAGAUGGAUCCGCGCCGCAUUAGCUAGUUGGUAAGGUAACGGCUUACCAAGGCGACGAUGCGUAGCCGACCUGAGAGGGUGAUCGGCCACCCUGGAACUGAGGCACGGUCCAGACUCCUACGGGAGGCAGCAGUAGGGAAUCUUCCGCAAUGGGCGAAAGCUUGACGGAGCAACGCCGCGUGAGUGAUGAAGGUCUUCGGAUCGUAAAACUCUGUUAUUAGGGAAGAACAAAUGUGUAAGUAACUAUGCACGUCUUGACGGUACCUAAUCAGAAAGCCACGGCUAACUACGUG
rnacentral:rRNA from 1 species